rnacentral:lncRNA from 1 species
UUGGUGUAUAUAUGCAUACAUCGUGACAUUCUGUGGCCAUAGAUUGAGAGAGCAAGAACCUUGGGUCGCCGAGCCGUGCACCUGGAUAGAGGGUGAGGUAGCCGCUGAGAAAGAGAACAUUAGUCGUCAUCAUCAUUGUACGUCUAUACCGCCGACCGAGCCCUGAUCGAUAGCUCCAAGCAUUCACCAAAGAGGGGUCACAAGAAUGCCAAUGCUAAUGCCUCACCCUAAAUCCUAAUCCACAGAAGGAUCCAUCUCCUAGGUGUCGGAGUGACCGGAAGAGUGACAUCCUAAUGGUGGUACUGGAUCUGCCCCCUUUUCUACAGGACAGCGGUGGGAGGCGACGUCAGUAAGGACCAGAUCCAUCUCCACUACUGCAGGGAGAAGGUAUGAACUCCUAUUCCCCUCUGCGGUCGUGUUUUAUGUGCACUGAUCCAAGAUGGAUUAGUUCCCUGUUAUCUUCUAAAGUAAUCUCGGAGUUCUAAGUAUACACAGUUAGAUCCCUAAUUUCUAUCAGAUAUAUGUUGCUCUGUUUAUCUUUAUACACUUUCCUCCUUGAUAGCCUCUUUUCGGGCAAACCAUGUGAAGCAACUUGGCUUUUAUUCAGUCUUGUAGCAUCAACUUUUGAUGUUCACACUUUUUGGUCAUGCAGUUUCUCUUUCUACCUGGUUGAUUACCCGCACCAUUCCAUCCUGAAUCAUCGCGUGCGUUGACUUUUCUGUACACGAGGAACGAUUACUGCAUGAGUGGAUGCAAAAUAAGUCGUUUUGAGGCCAUCCACCUGCAUCUGUAUAUACGCCAGAUAUGGUCGUACCUGGCCGGCCAGGCUCGCGUGGGACUGGCUGUGCGGGCGCAGUAAACCAAUCAGGCACUUUGUGUUCGGGGUCACUUGGCUAAUGUAGCUAAAAACUGCAGAUUUUACGGCAAACUUCAUGAGGUGUCAGUGCUUAACUGCUUAAGUUAGAGUGCUACCUUUAGAGUGCAAUGGAGUGUCAUCUGCACAAAUGAUCUAUAGUGUGGUUAUAACAAUGUAAACUGCAGAGUUUCAUGAUUAGAAAUAAAUAAAGGAACCACAAAAUCAAGGGAUCAUACACUUUGCCGAGGUCAUGUGCACAAGGGAUUUUUUUUUUUUGAUACGAGGGCAUCACCAUUUAUAUUACUUUCAUAACAGAAAUGCAUCACAGUUCACCAAAGAGUACCUGACCGACAGACGGACAACCUCCGACAAAAGACGGCAACCAGAAACCUGAAGUUUCGCCAAGAGUUGUCUAGACAGCCUCUGAUUCAGGGAGCCAGCACGCAGGACAAAAUGGGCCAUCAAGUUCAACGGGCAUUAACCCACCAACAUAUAUAGUAGAGUAAUACAGCUACUGCUCAAGGACUCAUGCAGGAGCCAAAAGCAUAAAAAACUACGAUCGAAUCCAAGCAGGCAGCAACAUUUUGUUCCUCGCUUUCCAAAUCGCCCAGCAAA